rnacentral:rRNA from 1 species
CCUACGGGAGGCAGCAGUGGGGAAUAUUGCACAAUGGGCGCAAGCCUGAUGCAGCCAUGCCGCGUGUAUGAAGAAGGCCUUCGGGUUGUAAAGUACUUUCAGCGGGGAGGAAGGCGAUAAGGUUAAUAACCUUGUCGAUUGACGUUACCCGCAGAAGAAGCACCGGCUGACUCCGUGCCAGCAGUCGCGGUAAUACGGAGGGUGCAAGCGUUAAUCGGAAUUACUGGGCGUAAAGCGCACGCAGGCGGUCUGUCGAGUCGGAUGUGAAAUCCCCGGGCUCGACCUGGGAACUGCAUUCGAAACUGGCAGGCUGGAGUCUUGUAGAGGGGGGUAGAAUUCCAGGUGUAGCGGUGAAAUGCGUAGAGAUCUGGAGGAAUACCGGUGGCGAAAGCAGCCCCCUGGACAAAGACUGACGCUCAGGUGCGAAAGCGUGGGGAGCAAACAGGAUUAGAUACCCUCGUAGUC